rnacentral:rRNA from 1 species
UACGUAGGGGGCGAGCGUUGUCCGGAUUUAUUGGGCGUAAAGAGCGUGUAGGCGGCCAGGUAGGUCUGCUGUGAAAACCCGAGGCUCAACCUCGAGACGCCGAUGGAAACCAUGUGGCUAGAGUCCGGAAGAGGAGAGUGGAAUUCCUGGUGUAGCGGUGAAAUGCGCAGAUAUCAGGAAGAACACCCGUGGCUAAGGCGGCUCUCUAGUACGGUACUGACGCUGAGACGCGAAAGCGUGGGGAGCGAACAGG